rnacentral:rRNA from 1 species
CGUACACUCCUGCGGGAGGCAGCAGUGGGGAAUAUUGCACAAUGGGCGCAAGCCUGAUGCAGCCAUGCCGCGUGUAUGAAGAAGGCCUUCGGGUUGUAAAGUACUUUCAGCGGGGAGGAAGGCGAUAAGGUUAAUAACCUUGUCGAUUGACGUUACCCGCAGAAGAAGCACCGGCUAACUCCGUGCCAGCAGCCGCGGUAAUACGGAGGGUGCAAGCGUUAAUCGGAAUUACUGGGCGUAAAGCGCACGCAGGCGGUCUGUCAAGUCGGAUGUGAAAUCCCCGGGCUCAACCUGGGAACUGCAUUCGAAACUGGCAGGCUAGAGUCUUGUAGAGGGGGGUAGAAUUCCAGGUGUAGCGGUGAAAUGCGUAGAGAUCUGGAGGAAUACCGGUGGCGAAGGCGGCCCCCUGGACAAAGACUGACGCUCAGGUGCGAAAGCGUGGGGAGCAAACAGGAUUAGAUACCCGAGUAGUCC